rnacentral:rRNA from 1 species
GACGAACGCUGGCGGCGUGCUUAAUACAUGCAAGUCGAACGGAAAGGCCCUGCGCUUGUGCGUUUCUCGUUUGCCGAGGGCGGGAGUAACACAUGAGUAAACUCCCCCUAUCUUUCUGGGAUCAUCACGGGAAUCGGGCUCAUAUCGCGGAUAAUCUCCUGCACCGCGUUGGGGGUUAGUAAAAGUCGGCGGUUGUGGAUGGUCUCGCUGCUUAUCCGCCUGUUUGUGGGGUAGUGGCUUACCAAGGCUUCGACGGGUAGCAGGCCUGGGAGGGUUGCCGGCCACAUUGGGCCUGAGAGACGGACCAGUCUGGUACGGGCGGCAGCAGGGGGGAAUAUUGCGCAGUGGGCGGAAGCGUGAUGCAGCAACGUCGCGAGCGGGAUGACGGGUUUCGGGUUGUAAACCGCUUUCGACUGUGACGAAGCGUGAGUGACGGUAAUGGGUAAAGAAGCACCGGCUAACUACGUG